GAUGAACGCUGGCGGCGUGCUUAACACAUGCAAGUCGAACGGUGAAGGCGGAGCUUGCUCUGCUGGAUCAGUGGCGAACGGGUGAGUAACACGUGAGCAAUCUGCCCCUGACUCUGGGAUAAGCGCUGGAAACGGCGUCUAAUACUGGAUACGAGCUGCGAAGGCAUCUUCAGCAGCUGGAAAGAACGUCGGUAAGGGAUGAGCUCGCGGCCUAUCAGCUUGUUGGUGAGGUAACGGCUCACCAAGGCGUCGACGGGUAGCCGGCCUGAGAGGGUGACCGGCCACACUGGGACUGAGACACGGCCCAGACUCCUACGGGAGGCAGCAGUGGGGAAUAUUGCACAAUGGGCGAAAGCCUGAUGCAGCAACGCCGCGUGAGGGACGACGGCCUUCGGGUUGUAAACCUCUUUUAGCAGGGAAGAAGCGAAAGUGACGGUACCUGCAGAAAAAGCGCCGGCUAACUACGUG
rnacentral:rRNA from 1 species